rnacentral:rRNA from 1 species
GAUGAACGCUGGCGGCGUGCCUAAUACAUGCAAGUCGAGCGAACGGACGAGAAGCUUGCUUUUCUGAUGUUAGCGGCGGACGGGUGAGUAACACGUGGAUCACCUACCUAUAAGACUGGGAUAACUUCGGGAAACCGGAGCUAAUACCGGAUAAUAUUUUGAACCGCAUGGUUCAAAGGUGAAAGACGGCCUUGCUGUCACUUAUAGAUGGAUCCGCGCUGCAUUAGCUAGUUGGUAAGGUAACGGCUUACCAAGGCAACGAUGCAUAGCCGACCUGAGAGGGUGAUCGGCCGCACUGGAACGGAGACACGGUCAAGACGCCUAAGGGAGGGCGCAGUAGGGAAUCGUCCGCAAUGGGCGAAAGCCUGACGGAGCAACGCCGCGUGAGUGAUGAAGGUCUUCGGAUCGUAAAACUGUGUUAUGAGGGAAGAACAGAUGUGUCAGUAGCUGUGCACAUCUUGACGGUACCUAAUCAGAAAGCCACGGCUAACUACGUG